UCUCCACUCAGAGCCGUUGCGCUUUCAAGCUCACACCGUUUUCAUCUCUCCUCUCCCCUAACAUUUUAACAAUGGCCAAGGGCAAGCGCUCCGCUGAUGCCAAGGGCAGCCAGAGGCGCCAGAAGAAGGUGCUGCGCGACAACAUCCGCGGCAUCACUCGCGGCUGCGUCCGCCGCAUGGCGCGCCGCGGUGGCGUGAAGCGCAUCUCGAGCGAGGUCUACGAAGAGGUGCGCCGCGUGCUGAAGGCCUACGUGGAGGACAUUGUGCGCUGCAGCACGGCCUACACCGAGUACGCGCGCAAGAAGACGGUGACGGCGUGCGAUGUUGUGAACGCGCUGCGCAAGCAAGGCCACAUCCUGUACGGCUACGCGUAAAUGCUCGCAGAGCCGCUGCACACUCAUAGAUACACCUUCUUUGUUCAUGCCGUCGUUUCUGUGGUUUCCUUGGUUUUCGACUUCCCCUCCCCCCCACUAUGGCUUUUCUUCUGUCUCGUGCUGACACCCUUCCCUACCCAUCGCUGUUUGCUGGCGGCAGUACAGAAAGAAAACAGCACACCCACUCCACUGCAUACCUGGAGAGCGGUCGUGCGCGGCCGUAUCCGAAGCACGCUCUCGGCGUCCGUGUCUAUGGAGGCUGAGUGCAGCCCCGCCCCCUCCCUGCCUCCCUCAACGCCCGCCGGCGCCAGAGGUCACCACGCGGGAUGCUGGGCCGCCUCUUCGACAUUGCCACUCCUCCUCCGCCGCUUGCUCGCUCAUUCUCUAUGCCAGAGUGCCAUGCGCUCCCUUUCACUCUUUGCGCUUCUCUUCGUCUCCUCCUGUUCUCUGUUCGCACACACAUAACACGCACGAGCUCACAG
rnacentral:misc_RNA from 1 species